rnacentral:rRNA from 1 species
UACGUAGGGUGCAAGCGUUGUCCGGAAUUAUUGGGCGUAAAGAGCUCGUAGGCGGUUUGUCGCGUCGAAUGUGAAAACCCGGGGCUCAACCCCGGGCCUGCAUUCGAUACGGGCAGACUAGAGUUCGGUAGGGGAGUGUGGAAUUCCUGGUGUAGCGGUGAAAUGCGCAGAUAUCAGGAGGAACACCGGUGGCGAAGGCGGGACUCUGGGCCGAUACUGACGCUGAGGAGCGAAAGCGUGGGGAGCAAACAGG